UUCUGAGGAACUGGGUGAAUCUGUGCAACUUUAAGUCCAGUCUAAUAAGCUGCUUUUCACUGCAGGAGUCAAACUUGCUACCUGUUUUGUUGUGUAGACUUACUAAUAUCUACCUCUGCCUGAUGCAGCUCGCUAGGAUCCAGUGUCCUUGGUAAUGUUUGGUUUGAUUGAAGAAGACCUCUUCUCUGUAGCCAGUGGCACAUGGAAACACCUUAUGCUAAAAGAAAGCCAGAAGAGCCACUGGAUCAGCUCUGCUCUCCAGAGCUCUGCAAUGAAGUGAGACAUACUGCCUGCUGCAAAGAAAAUGAACAAGAGAGAUGCGUGGGUCUCCAACUUGCUAAAGUUUUGCAGACCAUGAAAACCAAGGAUGCUGGGUAUGUGAAUUGCAUAGACCAGCAUGCAAUUCUGUAGAUGAACAAGGUUUCAGCUCUACCUCCAAAACUCCUGGUGCUCCUUUUGCUAUUGUCACUUCCCUUGCUGAUCUUGCCUGGACACCUCAAGACAGUCCAAGGACAAGCUGCUGUCUGAGAGACCUGCA